UGAUUUGGUUGAGAAUUCAGAGAAGAAACCAACCGUUUCAUCUGAUGGUAGUAGAUCGAAGAUUUUCAUAAGAAUUCGAACCAAGAACAGUAAAACUGCUGAUGAGGUUGCGGAUACAGGGGAUCAUACCUCUGUUGCUGAAGACGCCGAAGAAUCAGUGCCGAAGACGUGGAACUUAAGGCCGAGAAGAGUGAUCACUAAGGUUAAUAAUAAUGCGAUUGGAGGUGCAUCAAAGAUCGGAGGAGCUGCGGUGCCGGAUAACAAAGCUCAGCCACCCACUCGCCCUGAAUUGACUCGUAACCGGAAUAUUGUAACAACCGAGGCGAAAGUUCCAGAAAAGAAAGAGAAAGAGAAAGAAAAGAAGCAAAAGUUCUCGAUCUCGCUUGCCAAGGAAGAGAUUGAAGAUGACUUUCUUAUUCUGACAGGGUCCAAGCCCGCCAGGCGACCUAAGAAGAGAGCGAAGAAUGUGCAGAGGCAACUUGAUUUUGUCUUUCCGGGUUUGUGGCUGGCCUCCAUAACGCCUGAUUCCUACCGGGUUAAUGAUGGUCCUGCCAAGGGUUAGAUGGGACUUUGAUGUUUUAUAGUUUUGGGGCAAAUUGAAGGUGAAUGACUGCAGUUAGAAGUUUUUGAUCUCAGCUGAAGGUAUAGCGAAUUAUGAGUUUAUAAAUGUAAAGAUGAAAGGUUAACAUAUGUAUGUUGUUGUUGUGCCUUUUGUCUGGUAAAUGUGUGAGGAGCUCAGAGUUCGGCAGAGGGGUUUUAUCAUAAACUGUGUCAUGACUAGUUGCCGUUGUACAUAUGAAUCAUCAGUUGAAUGAAAGCUUCUUCAUUUUCCAAUUCUAUGAAAUGGAAAUUUCUUACAUGCGAGUUCAUGAGGUUGUUUUGCUUUUAGUUGAAGAGGUUGAAAUAUCAAAGCAAAUACAUAUCAUGUAUCUCAAAUGAUCGGAUGCAUUCUUGUUUUUCACGGAUGUGAUAAAAACAAAUUUGGAGUAAAAAUUGAUAGUAUACUGAUUUCUGAAUAAUGUGAGGGAAGUGUCAAUUUCAUGGAGUCAAAAUAAAUGUACGAGUAAUUGUCAGUUAAUCAAGUUGUGUUUGAUUGAAUAGGCUGAAUUAUAUAAACGUGUUGGGCAACCCUAAUAGUUAGGAUACACACUUGUGAUCACUCUCUAUUUUCUUUCUUUCAAGAAUGGCACUUUUAGGAGCAAAAAAGGUUGGUUUAUCAACUUCUAGUGGAGCAAUGAACAUGCCAGUCUUUAGUGAAUAAUCAAGUAAUUUUGUCUGGUUUAUACUCCUGUUUGAAGAGUGUGAGCUAGACAUGAGUCACCUUGUAUUAGGGCAAGAUCUGUCUGACUGACCUUCGAUAAAUGAAUGAUGUGUAAUUUAAGUACUUA